GACGAACGCUGGCGGCGUGCUUAACACAUGCAAGUCGAACGGAAAGGCCUUGUCGGAGGUCCUCGAGCGGCGAACGGGUGAGUAACACGUGGGCGAUCUGCCCUUCACUCUGGGAUAAGCCUGGGAAACUGGGUCUAAUACCGGAUAGGACCGCACUAUAGUGUGGGUGGGGGAAAGUGUUUUCGGUGUAGGAUGAGCCCGCGGUCUAUCAGCUUGUGGGUGGGGUAAUGGCUGACCAAGGCGGCGACGGGUAACCGGACUGAGGGGCUGGUCGGCCACACUGAGUCUGAGAUGCGGCCGAGGUUCCGACGGUUGGGCGAAGUGGGGAAUCUUGCCCAAUGGGCGCCACCCUGGUGAAGAGACGCUGCGUGGGGUAUGACUGCCUUCGGGUUGAAAACCCCUUGCGCCAGGGACGAAGCGUUUUGUGACGGUACCUGGAGAAGAAGCACCGGCUAACUACGUG
rnacentral:rRNA from 1 species